rnacentral:rRNA from 1 species
CGGGACACGUGGUAUCCUGUCUGAAUAUGGGGGGACCAUCCUCCAAGGCUAAAUACUCCUGACUGACCGAUAGUGAACCAGUACCGUGAGGGAAAGGCGAAAAGAACCCCGGCGAGGGGAGUGAAAAAGAACCUGAAACCGUGUACGUACAAGCAGUGGGAGCACGCUUAGGCGUGUGACUGCGUACCUUUUGUAUAAUGGGUCAGCGACUUAUAUUCUGUAGCAAGGUUAACCGAAUAGGGGAGCCGAAGGGAAACCGAGUCUUAACUGGGCGUUAAGUUGCAGGGUAUAGACCCGAAACCCGGUGAUCUAGCCAUGGGCAGGUUGAAGGUUGGGUAACACUAACUGGAGGACCGAACCGACUAAUGUUGAAAAAUUAGCGGAUGACUUGUGGCUGGGGGUGAAAGGCCAAUCAAACCGGGAGAUAGCUGGUUCUCCCCGAAAGCUAUUUAGGUAGCGCCUCGUGAAUUCAUCUCCGGGGGUAGAGCACUGUUUCGGCAAGGGGGUCAUCCCGACUUACCAACCCGAUGCAAACUGCGAAUACCGGAGAAUGUUAUCACGGGAGACACACGGCGGGUGCUAACGUCCGUCGUGAAGAGGGAAACAACCCAGACCGCCAGCUAAGGUCCCAAAGUCAUGGUUAAGUGGGAAACG